UCCUGCACCUAUUGUCUAUUGUUUGGAAGGGGUGGUUUCCACAUCUCCGCCACAAUGUAAUGCUGUUUGUUGGUUCACAAGGCAAUGUCUUCUUUCACAUUCAAUUGUCACUUGAUGGUUCUGUUAAUAUUGUUUAUUCCAGAGCUACAGAGUUUGUGAACGCCUGUCGACAUCAUGUCUGAAGGUGGUGACUAGGGAGGUGAUUCAGUGGCCACUACAUCAAAGGAACACAAAGGUGGGAAAUGAACUC